GACGAACGCUGGCGGCGUGCUUAACACAUGCAAGUCGAACGGAAAGGCCCUGCUUUUGUGGGGUGCUCGAGUGGCGAACGGGUGAGUAACACGUGAGUAACCUGCCCUUGACUUUGGGAUAACUUCAGGAAACUGGGGCUAAUACCGGAUAGGAGCUCCUGCUGCAUGGUGGGGGUUGGAAAGUUUCGGCGGUUGGGGAUGGACUCGCGGCUUAUCAGCUUGUUGGUGGGGUAGUGGCUUACCAAGGCUUUGACGGGUAGCCGGCCUGGGAGGGUGACCGGCCACAUUGGGACUGAGAAACGGCCCAGACGCCUACGGGAGGCAGCAGUGGGGAAUAUUGCACAAUGGGCGGAAGCCUGAUGCAGCAACGCCGCGUGCGGGAUGACGGCCUUCGGGUUGUAAACCGCUUUCGCCUGUGACGAAGCGUGAGUGACGGUAAUGGGUAAAGAAGCACCGGCUAACUACGU
rnacentral:rRNA from 1 species